CUGAAAAACAUGCAUUAAUAAAAUCAUUGUAAAUUUCAUACAUGUGACUCACCUAAGACUUAUUACCGGUAUAUAAACAACAAUAUUUUAAAUCACUUAACAUCGGACUUAACCACGUAUCAAGUUAAGACUUCUCUUUUUGAUUAUGGCUAACACAUUCACGUGGAUCUUGGUGGUUGCCACUGUAGUCGUCUAUGCGCAUCCCCAGUUCGACGAUUUUUCUUUAGGCCUCGACGCAAACUGUUUGAAGAAAACACCUGAAGUAUACCGACCUUGCAGAAUGCGAACGAUUUGGACGUUCGACUGGUGCGCGCUUAGGUGUGUUCAGCGAACUGGAUGUUUCCCACCUGGUAACCUGGUCAACGCAUUUCCUUCGCAACAAGGUUGUUACAUGUAUUGCAGCAGACGAUACGAAUAGGUGUAUGUCGUGUAAUAAA